rnacentral:misc_RNA from 1 species
GAUGAAGAACGUAGCGAAAUGCGAUAAGUAAUGUGAAUUGCAGAAUUCAGUGAAUCAUCGAAUCUUUGAACGCACCUUGCGCCCUUUGGCUAUUCCGAAGGGCAUGCCUGUUUGAGUAUCAUGAAAACCUCAACUCUCAUGGCUUGCCAUGAUGAGCUUGGACUCUGGGGGUCUUGCUGGCUUUACGGUCAGCUCCUCUCAAAUAAAUCAGCUUGCCGGUGUUUGGUGGGAUCACAGGUGUGAUAACUAUCUACGCUUGUGGUUUUCCGCCAGGUAACCUUCAGCAAUGGAGGUUCGCUGGAGCUCAUAAAUGUCUCUCCUCAGCGAGGACAGAUUUUGACCGUUUGAUCUCAAAUCAGGUAGGACUACCCGCUGAACUUAAGCAUAUCAAUAAGCGGAGGA